rnacentral:sRNA from 1 species
GCUGAAGCAAGGCAAGAUAAUAAAAUAAUGGUGGAAGAGAUAAUAAGACUUAACGACUUAAAAACUGAAUUACAUCAGUCAUUAAAGUCAAAGGAUAUCCAAGUUGAGAAAAUGGCUAAUGGGAAUGAGGAACUAACUUUACAAUUGC